rnacentral:miRNA from 1 species
UAGCACCGCUAUCCACUAUGUC